rnacentral:rRNA from 1 species
CUUGCUUCACUCUGAUGACGACCGGCGGAUGGGUGAGUAACGCGUAUGCAACUUGCCUCUUAGUGGGGGAUAACCCGGAGAAAUCCGGACUAAUACCGCAUAUUCUUAAUUUCUCGCAUGAGUUAUUAAGGAAAGAUUUAUUGCUAAGAGAUAGGCAUGCGUUCCAUUAGUUAGUUGGUGAGGUAACGGCUCACCAAGGCAUCGAUGGAUAGGGGAGCUGAGAGGCUGAUCCCCACAUUGGGACUGAGACACGGCCCAAACUCC